rnacentral:rRNA from 1 species
CCUACGGGAGGCAGCAGUGGGGAAUAUUGCACAAUGGGGGAAACCCUGAUGCAGCGACGCCGCGUGAGUGAAGAAGUAUUUCGGUAUGUAAAGCUCUGUCAGCAGGGAAGAAAAUGACGGUACAUGACCAAGAAGCCCCAGCUAACUACGUGCCAGCAGCCGCGGUAAUACGUAGGGGACAAGCGUUAUCCGGAUUUACUGGGUGUAAAGGGAGCGUAGACGGCAGGGCAAGUCUGGAGUGAAAGGCGGGGGCUCAACCCCCGGACUGCUCGGGAAACUGCCAGGCUGGAGUGCAGGAGAGGUAAGUGGAAUUCCUAGUGUAGCGGUGAAAUGCGUAGAUAUUAGGAGGAACACCAGUGGCGAAGGCGGCUUACUGGACUGUAACUGACGUUGAGGCUCGAAAGCGUGGGGAGCAAACAGGAUUAGAUACCCCAGUAGUC